rnacentral:rRNA from 1 species
AUUGAACGCUGGCGGCAUGCUUUACACAUGCAAGUCGAACGGCAGCACGAGUGCUUNGCACUUGGUGGCGAGUGGCGAACGGGUGAGUAAUACAUCGGAACGUGUCUUAAAGUGGGGGAUAACGCAUCGAAAGAUGUGCUAAUACCGCAUAAUCUCUAAGGAGAAAAGUAGGGGAUCGUAAGACCUUACGCUUUUGGAGCGGCCGAUGUCUGAUUAGCUAGUUGGUAGGGUAAAGGCUUACCAAGGCGACGAUCAGUAGUUGGUCUGAGAGGAUGGCCAACCACACUGGGACUGAGACACGGCCCAGACUCCUACGGGAGGCAGCAG